rnacentral:rRNA from 1 species
AAGUCGAGCGGACAGAAGGGAGCUUGCUCCCGGAUGUUAGCGGCGGACGGGUGAGUAACACGUGGGUAACCUGCCUGUAAGACUGGGAUAACUCCGGGAAACCGGAGCUAAUACCGGAUAGUUCCUUGAACCGCAUGGUUCAAGGAUGAAAGACGGUUUCGGCUGUCACUUACAGAUGGACCCGCGGCGCAUUAGCUAGUUGGUGGGGUAAUGGCUCACCAAGGCGACGAUGCGUAGCCGACCUGAGAGGGUGAUCGGCCACACUGGGACUGAGACACGGCCCAGACUCCUACGGGAGGCAGCAGUAGGGAAUCUUCCGCAAUGGACGAAAGUCUGACGGAGCAACGCCGCGUGAGUGAUGAAGGUUUUCGGAUCGUAAAGCUCUGUUGUUAGGGAAGAACAAGUGCGAGAGUAACUGCUCGCACCUUGACGGUACCUAACCAGAAAGCCACGGCUAACUACGUGCACACAGCCGCGGUAAUACGUAGGUGGCAAGCGUUGUCCGGAAUUAUUGGGCGUAAAGGGCUCGCAGGCGGUUUCUUAAGUCUGAUGUGAAAGCCCCCCGGCUCAACCGGGGAGGGUCA